rnacentral:lncRNA from 1 species
AUGAAGAGUGACUUGGGUUGGUGGAGAUGAAUCACGAUGAUUUCAAUUCCAAAGAUACAUAUGCCGGAUGGAGAGUUUACGUGAUGAUAGUGAUGGUGAUAUUUGUAACCUUGAUGGUGAUAUUUAUAACCUUUUGUAGUGGCCAAAUUCCAAUUCUGGUUGUAAGCGAAAGAAUGAUUACAGGUCACAUUUUUUUAAUGAACACAUCUCUAUGCCUCGUUAUCAUUAUGUUAUCCUACUUUAUUUGUUGCGAUUUGUGAAAGCAUGAACUGGCUAGGAACUAUUGCUAUAUUACAUUGAUUUCGUUUCUC